UACGUAGGGGGCGAGCGUUGUCCGGAAUUAUUGGGCGUAAAGGGUGCGUAGGCGGCAUGGCAAGUCCUGUGUGAAAGGUCGCGGCUUAACCGCGGUAGGUCAUGGGAAACUGCUGUGCUUGAGUGCCGGAGAGGAUAGCGGAAUUCCACGUGUAGCGGUGAAAUGCGUAGAUAUGUGGAGGAACACCAGUGGCGAAGGCGGCUAUCUGGACGGUAACUGACGCUGAGGCACGACAGCUGGGGGAGCAAACCGG
rnacentral:rRNA from 1 species